rnacentral:rRNA from 1 species
AUGAACGCUGGCGGCGUGCUUAACACAUGCAAGUCGAACGAUUAAGACGGCUUCGGCCGUGUAUAGAGUGGCGAACGGGUGAGUAACACGUGACCAACCUGCCCCGCGCUCCGGGACAACCGCUGGAAACGGCGGCUAAUACCGGAUGCUCCGGGGAGGCCCCAUGGCCUCCCCGGGAAAGCCUUAACGGCGCGGGAUGGGGUCGCGGCCCAUUAGGUAGACGGCGGGGUAACGGCCCACCGUGCCCGCGAUGGGUAGCCGGACUGAGAGGUCGACCGGCCACAUUGGGACUGAGAUACGGCCCAGACUCCUACGGGAGGCAGCAGUGGGGAAUUUUGCGCAAUGGGGGGAACCCUGACGCAGCAACGCCGCGUGCGGGACGAAGGCCUUCGGGUUGUAAACCGCUUUCAGCAGGGAAGACUUUGACGGUACCUGCAGAAGAAGCUCCGGCUAACUACGUGCCAGCAGCCGCGGUAAUACGUAGGGGGCGAGCGUUAUCCGGAUUCAUUGGGCGUAAAGCGCGCGUAGGCGGCCGCCUAAGCGGAACCUCUAAUCCCGGGGCUCAACCUCGGGCCGGGUUCCGGACUGGGCGGCUCGAGUGCGGUAGAGGCAGGCGGAAUUCCCGGUGUAGCGGUGGAAUGCGCAGAUAUCGGGAAGAACACCGAUGGCGAAGGCAGCCUGCUGGGCCGCCACUGACGCUGAGGCGCGAAAGCUGGGGGAGCGAACAGGAUUAGAUACCCUGGUAGUCCCAGCCGUAAACGAUGGACGCUAGGUGUGGGGGGACCAUCCCCCCGUGCCGCAGCCAACGCAUUAAGCGUCCCGCCUGGGGAGUACGGCCGCAAGGCUAAAACUCAAAGGAAUUGACGGGGGCCCGCACAAGCAGCGGAGCAUGUGGCUUAAUUCGAAGCAACGCGAAGAACCUUACCAGGGCUUGACAUGCGAGUGAAGCCGCGGAGACGCGGUGGCCGAGAGGGGCUGGGGGAGGGGGGGAAUGGCUGUCGACGGCUCGUGUCGUGAGAUGUUGGGUUAAGUCCCGCAACGAGCGCAACCCACGUCCCGUGUUGCCAGCAUUGAGUUGGGGACUCGCGGGAGACUGCCGGCGUCAAGCCGGAGGAAGGUGGGGACGACGUCAAGUCAUCAUGCCCCUUAUGCCCUGGGCUGCACACGUGCUACAAUGGCCGGUACAGAGGGUUGCCACCCCGCGAGGGGGAGCGGAUCCCGGAAAGCCGGUCCCAGUUCGGAUCGCAGGCUGCAACCCGCCUGCGUGAAGUCGGAGUUGCUAGUAAUCGCGGAUCAGCAUGCCGCGGUGAAUACGUUCCCGGGCCUUGUACACACCGCCCGUCACACCACCCGAGUCGUCUGCACCCGAAGCCGCCGGCCGAACCCUUCUGGGGCGGAGGCGUCGAAGGUGUGGAGGGUAAGGGGGGUG